AAAUUGAAGAGUUUGAUCAUGGCUCAGAUUGAACGCUGGCGGCAGGCCUAACACAUGCAAGUCGAACGGUAACAGGAAGCAGCUUGCUGCUUCGCUGACGAGUGGCGGACGGGUGAGUAAUGUCUGGGAAACUGCCUGAUGGAGGGGGAUAACUACUGGAAACGGUGGCUAAUACCGCAUAACGUCGCAAGACCAAAGAGGGGGACCUUCGGGCCUCUUGCCAUCAGAUGUGCCCAGAUGGGAUUAGCUUGUUGGUGAGGUAACGGCUCACCAAGGCGACGAUCCCUAGCUGGUCUGAGAGGAUGACCAGCCACACUGGAACUGAGACACGGUCCAGACUCCUACGGGAGGCAGCAGUGGGGAAUAUUGCACAAUGGGCGCAAGCCUGAUGCAGCCAUGCCGCGUGUAUGAAGAAGGCCUUCGGGUUGUAAAGUACUUUCAGCGGGGAGGAAGGUGUUGUGGUUAAUAACCGCAGCAAUUGACGUUACCCGCAGAAGAAGCACCGGCUAACUCCGUGCCAGCAGCCGCGGUAAUACGGAGGGUGCAAGCGUUAAUCGGAAUUACUGGGCGUAAAGCGCACGCAGGCGGUCUGUCAAGUCGGAUGUGAAAUCCCCGGGCUCAACCUGGGAACUGCAUUCGAAACUGGCAGGCUUGAGUCUUGUAGAGGGGGGUAGAAUUCCAGGUGUAGCGGUGAAAUGCGUAGAGAUCUGGAGGAAUACCGGUGGCGAAGGCGGCCCCCUGGACAAAGACUGACGCUCAGGUGCGAAAGCGUGGGGAGCAAACAGGAUUAGAUACCCUGGUAGUCCACGCCGUAAACGAUGUCUACUUGGAGGUUGUGCCCUUGAGGCGUGGCUUCCGGAGCUAACGCGUUAAGUAGACCGCCUGGGGAGUACGGCCGCAAGGUUAAAACUCAAAUGAAUUGACGGGGGCCCGCACAAGCGGUGGAGCAUGUGGUUUAAUUCGAUGCAACGCGAAGAACCUUACCUGGUCUUGACAUCCACGGAAGUUUUCAGAGAUGAGAAUGUGCCUUCGGGAACCGUGAGACAGGUGCUGCAUGGCUGUCGUCAGCUCGUGUUGUGAAAUGUUGGGUUAAGUCCCGCAACGAGCGCAACCCUUAUCCUUUGUUGCCAGCGAUUAGGUCGGGAACUCAAAGGAGACUGCCAGUGAUAAACUGGAGGAAGGUGGGGAUGACGUCAAGUCAUCAUGGCCCUUACGACCAGGGCUACACACGUGCUACAAUGGCGCAUACAAAGAGAAGCGACCUCGCGAGAGCAAGCGGACCUCAUAAAGUGCGUCGUAGUCCGGAUUGGAGUCUGCAACUCGACUCCAUGAAGUCGGAAUCGCUAGUAAUCGUGGAUCAGAAUGCCACGGUGAAUACGUUCCCGGGCCUUGUACACACCGCCCGUCACACCAUGGGAGUGGGUUGCAAAAGAAGUAGGUAGCUUAACCUUCGGGAGGGCGCUUACCACUUUGUGAUUCAUGACUGGGGUGAAGUCGUAACAAGGUAACCGUAGGGGAACCUGCGGUUGGAUCACCUCCUUACCUUAAAGAA
rnacentral:rRNA from 3 species